rnacentral:rRNA from 1 species
UACGGGAGGCAGCAGUGGGGAAUAUUGCACAAUGGGCGCAAGCCUGAUGCAGCCAUGCCGCGUGUAUGAAGAAGGCCUUCGGGUUGUAAAGUACUUUCAGUCGUGAGGAAGGUGUUAAGGUUAAUAACCUUAGCAAUUGACGUUAGCGACAGAAGAAGCACCGGCUAACUCCGUGCCAGCAGCCGCGGUAAUACGGAGGGUGCGAGCGUUAAUCGGAAUUACUGGGCGUAAAGGGCACGCAGGCGGUUAAUUAAGUUGGAUGUGAAAUCCCCGGGCUUAACCUGGGAAUGGCAUUCAAGCUGGUUAGCUAGAGUCUUGUAGAGGGGGUAGAAUUCCAUGUGUAGCGGUGAAAUGCGUAGAGAUGUGGAGGAAUACCGGUGGCGAAGGCGGCCCCUGGGACAAAGGACUGACGCUCAUGUGCGAAAGCGUGGGGAGCAAACGAGGGAUUAGAUACC